rnacentral:lncRNA from 1 species
GGGUGAUGGGGAUGAAGAGCAGCCAUUUUGUGCAUAGAUAUAGGAUCGGCUGUUGGGAAACAUACAUUAAUGUUAGUGUGGUAUGGUUGACCGAAGGAUGAUCAGUUACAGACAGGUAUUCUUUGUUAGUAUUAUUAUUAUUAUUACUAUUAUUAUCAACAUCAUCAAAACUAUUCAUAAUUUUAGAUCGUCAUGUGAUUUGUGCUGAAUUUCGAUUAAAUCCCAGUUGUGAGUCCUGUAAUCGUAACUCAAGUUUAUUAGUUACUAGAUACAGAAGCUCGUACUAGCAUUUUUCUUGUACUGGUAUAUUACCAUCACAGUACUGCCAUAUUUUUGUCGGCAUCACUGGGCACAGUUGGGAAGAGGUACACAGAUACAGGAGGCUCCUCACCAUCCCAAUAUCUAUUCAACCCUAUAUACAUAAUGUUUAUAUUUUUAAAAAUUUAGAAUAAUAUUUUUGUAUUUACUUCUUCCAGUAGAUCGUUGAAUGUUACAACUGCUACCAGUACUAGGAUCUGAAUGAGGACCAUGUUGGGGUCUUUUGUUGGAACCACUUAUACUUGAUGAUGGUGGCUGAUAUAUGGUAGUCGGCAGGGCUGUCUGGUCCCAGUGGUGGCGGUUCUUGGGCUGGUUUUCUGUGUAGUAGUGAGGGCUAUUCCCUUGCCACUAUCACUUAUUACCUGCCUGACAGCAUCAUUGACCGUGUUUCUUAGGCUGUUGGCAGAUUUUUCAGAAUAUACAAUAUAAUAUUUGAUAAUAAUGUAAAAUUAUUACUUCAAGUCAAUUAUACCAUUUCUCUCCUUGCUAUGCUUUCUAGGUGUGCUUGUAGGUUAACUCUCUCACCUUUGCUAAUUUUAAUGUUUUUAUAAUGCGUUUUGCUAGUGA